rnacentral:lncRNA from 1 species
AUACACAUGGCAGGCUAUAAAUAGUAAAUGUGUCAGAUCCAUCACAAUCAGUCAGAAAAAAUCAGAAUCAAUCACAAUCAGUCUCAAACAGAAUCUUUUUCUCUCUCUCAUCCAUAACAGAAUCAAAACAGAAAAAUCUCAGAAAAAAAGAGGGAAGAACACCAAGAACAAAUCAUCACCAAAUCAACAGAUCCGAACCAGAUCUGCUCAAAACCAACUCCGAUCAUCACCAAAUCAACGAAUCCGAACCGGAUUCACUCAAAACCACCUCGAAUCAUCACAUCAACACCAAAAUCGUACCGGAUUUUCGAGCAAAAACAACACCAACGGAGGCAAUAGCGCGCGCGCGAAAGAGAAGAGGAGAGAUUCGAAGUUUUCCGGAUAUCUUUUUUCUCCGUUCUACGACAGAGGUAACGCGUUUCUCCUUCCUUUCUAAGCCAUUUCCGCGCGUUUCUUGCUUGAAAUUGCAUGUGAAAAAGUUUGUUACGGAUAAAGAUUUGUAGAUCUAGGCUUUUGUGUUCGGAUUUUGAAAAUUUUGAGGCCGGAUUCGGACUCUAGAGAGAAAAGGAUAUCUAGAUCCGUAGUUAUUUUUCAAAAAAA